rnacentral:rRNA from 1 species
GACGAACGCUGGCGGCGUGCUUAACACAUGCAAGUCGAACGGAAGGGCCCUGCUUAUGUGGGGUGCUCGAGUGGCGAACGGGUGAGUAACACGUGAGUAACCUGCCCUUGACUUUGGGAUAACUUCAGGAAACUGGGGCUAAUACCGGAUAGGAGCUCCUGCUGCAUGGUGGGGGUUGGAAAGUUUCGGCGGUUUGGGAUGGACUCGCGGCUUAUCAGCUUGUUGGUGGGGUAGUGGCUUACCAAGGCUUUGACGGGUAGCCGGCCUGGGAGGGUGACCGGCCACAUUGGGACUGAGAUACGGCCCAGACUCCUACGGGAGGCAGCAGUGGGGAAUAUUGCACAAUGGGCGGAAGCCUGAUGCAGCAACGCCGCGUGCGGGAUGACGGCCUUCGGGUUGUAAACCGCUUUCGCCUGUGACGAAGCGUGAGUGACGGUAAUGGGUAAAGAAGCACCGGCUAACUACGUG